UAAAUACUCCCUCCGUCCCAAAAUUCUUGUCUUAGAUUUGUCUAAAUACGGAUGUAUCUAGUUUCAUUUUAGUAUUAGAUACAUCCGUAUCUAGACAAAUCUAAGACAAGAAUUUUGGGACGGAGGGAGUAUAAG
rnacentral:pre_miRNA from 1 species